UACGUAGGGACCGAGCGUUGUCCGGAAUCAUUGGGCGUAAAGAGCGUGUAGGCGGCUUGUUAAGUCUUGCGUGAAAUCUCGGGGCUCAACCCCGAGCGGUCGUGAGAAACUGGCAGGCUAGAGUGCGGGAGAGGAGAGUGGAAUUCCUGGUGUAGCGGUGAAAUGCGCAGAUAUCAGGAAGAACACCCGUGGCGAAGGCGCUCUCUGGAACGCAACUGACGCUGAGACGCGAAAGCGUGGGGAGCAAACAGG
rnacentral:rRNA from 1 species